AAGCACGAUUUGUAACACGUCGUACUCGUAAUUACGAAUAAUUUCAUCUUAACUUUCGUCGUGCAUUUAUAAUCUAACAUAUCAAUCGAUCUUUAAGAUCAUGAUCUACGAUUGAUGAUAUGCGGUUGAUACGUGGCAUCGUUUUGUGCGUGAGAUAUAAGUCGGAAAAUAAAAUUAAUGUCUCGAACAAACACGCGAUCUGUCGGGUCAUUUCUUUUCCAACGAGUUUUACGAAUAUUAUUUAAGCGAAAUCGUGAUUAAUUUGACGUCUCAAAGUUGUUCACUAUUUUGUGUAGUGCAAACGAGUUAGUUUCGUGACGAGAUGUUUCGUAAUUAUUACGAUAAUCAGUCUCUUUUUAUGUUACGUGAUAUGGAAACAUGGUGGAGUGAAAGAGAGGGAGGGAGAGAGAGAGAGUGAGAGAGAGAGAGACGACGAGUGGACGAAGGAUAGACAUAACGAAUGAAAAAGAAAAAGAGAAAGAGAGAGAGAGAGAGAGACAAGAAAUCGGCCAUACUUUUUUCUCCGACGGUAAUGUAGUUUACGAGUACAUCGGUAAUGAUAAUUCCAAAUGAGUGAAGUCUAUUUUGAUUGAAUUAUUCUAACGAAGCUUAGAAUGCUCAUCGUCAUUACAAGUUUCAACGAAGAUUUGAAAAUGAUCAUUGAUUAGCCAUGCGCGAUUUAUUAACGAAUAAAUGAAGCGUUUUAAACGUUUGAAGUAAAAAUAAAUAUAUCGUGAAGUGGAAAUGGUGUUCGUUCGUCGAAUCAAUUCUGUCGUUGUUUUCACGAUUGAAAUUAAUUUUUAAAAACGUGUAUGUGCUCGAAUCGAUUGCGCGCAAUGCAGUCGUUUAUAAAGUCAAUAUUUCUUCGUAUUAAGUUUUAGUUUUCAUUUAUUGACAGUGUCGCAGUGUCUUUACAUUAUAUUCGAAGAAUAAAGAUCCACGGUAUUAAAUUCGAUAAUCAAUCUUGUGAUCUGUAAAUAAUUAUUGUGCGUUAGAGAUCAGAGUGCAUCUCCCUAGUAGCAGUUGUGAAGGAGUGUUUUGGAGCCAUCAGAGAACUUCU